GACAAUGGGGGCAACCCUGAUCCAGCCAUGCCGCGUGCAGGAAGACUGCCCUAUGGGUUGUAAACUGCUUUUAUAGGGGAAGAACCCCCUCCACGUGUGGAGGGCUGACGGUACCCUACGAAUAAGGAUCGGCUAACUCCGUGCCAGCAGCCGCGGUAAUACGGAGGAUCCAAGCGUUAUCCGGAAUCAUUGGGUUUAAAGGGUCCGUAGGCGGGCAGUUAAGUCAGUGGUGAAAGUCCUCCGCUCAACGGGGGAACUGCCAUUGAUACUGAUUGCCUUGAGUCACUGUGAAGUGGUUGGAAUGAGUAGUGUAGCGGUGAAAUGCAUAGAUAUUACUCAGAACACCUAUUGCGAAGGCAGAUCACUAACAGUGCACUGACGCUGAUGGACGAAAGCGUAGGUAGCGAACAGGAUUAGAUACCCUGGUAGUCUACGCCGUAAACGAUGGUCACUAGCUGUCCGGCACAAUUGAGUGCUGGGUGGUUAAGCGAAAGUGAUAAGUGACCCACCUGGGGAGUACGUUCGCAAGAAUGAAACUCAAAGGAAUUGACGGGGGCCCGCACAAGCGGUGGAGCAUGUGGUUUAAUUCGAUGAUACGCGAGGAACCUUACC
rnacentral:rRNA from 1 species